rnacentral:sRNA from 1 species
AACCUAAACUUGGCAACAGGCAUGGUUUUAAGUCCUUGUAAGCAACAAGCUCGUCCUAGAGUCUUACAAGGCCGUGGUCCGAAAGGAUCAUGGGAGCCGAAAGGUUCC